GUUAAGCGACUAAGCGUACACGGUGGAUGCCCUGGCAGUCAGAGGCGAUGAAGGGCGUGCUAAUCUGCGAUAAGCGCCGGUAAGGUGAUAUGAACCGUUAUAACCGGCGAUACCCGAAUGGGGAAACCCAGUGUGAUUCGUCACACUAUCAUUAACUGAAUCCAUAGGUUAAUGAGGCGAACCGGGGGAACUGAAACAUCUAAGUACCCCGAGGAAAAGAAAUCAACCGAGAUUCCCCCAGUAGCGGCGAGCGAACGGGGAGGAGCCCAGAGCCUGAAUCAGCAUGUGUGUUAGUGGAAGCGUCUGGAAAGGCGCGCGAUACAGGGUGACAGCCCCGUACACAAAAGCGCAUGUGCUGUGAGCUCGAUGAGUAGGGCGGGACACGUGGUAUCCUGUCUGAAUAUGGGGGGACCAUCCUCCAAGGCUAAAUACUCCUGACUGACCGAUAGUGAACCAGUACCGUGAGGGAAAGGCGAAAAGAACCCCGGCGAGGGGAGUGAAAAAGAACCUGAAACCGUGUACGUACAAGCAGUGGGAGCACAGGUUUACCUGUGUGACUGCGUACCUUUUGUAUAAUGG
rnacentral:rRNA from 1 species